rnacentral:rRNA from 1 species
UACGAAGGGGGCUAGCGUUGCUCGAAAUCACUGGGCGUAAAGCGCACGUAGGCGGAUCUUUAAGUCAGGGGUGAAAUCCUGGAGCUCAACUCCAGAACUGCCUUUGAUACUGGGGAUCUCGAGUCCGGAAGAGGUGAGUGGAACUCCGAGUGUAGAGGUGAAAUUCGUAGAUAUUCGGAAGAACACCAGUGGCGAAGGCGGCUCACUGGUCCGGUACUGACGCUGAGGUGCGAAAGCGUGGGGAGCAAACAGG